rnacentral:rRNA from 1 species
CAGCCCUUAAUCGACCAGGCAAGGAAGUUCAUACCAGCCUGGCAAAGAGGACUCAUCCAAAGGCCAGGCCGUUUGGUGCUGGUUAAGUCAGUGGUUGCGGCGAGACCUAUACAUCAGCUAAUGGUUCUCAAUGCACCAUACUGGGUUUUUGAGGAGAUUGAUGCAUGGAUGAGAUCCUUCUUUUGGGCAGGAAAGGACAAAGUGAAUGGAGGGCAAUGCCUCGUCGCUUGGAGUAUGAUCUGUCGUCCAACGUGUUAUGGUGGACUUGGAAUCAAAAACCUCAAGAUGCAGGCACUUGCUCUUAGAGUAAGGUGGGAGUGGUUGAGGAGGACGGACCCGGAGAGGCCGUGGCAGGGCAUCCUAUUCUUGAUUGAUGCUGAUGCUCGGGAGGUGUUCAAUAGCUUGGUGCACAUCACAGUCGGCAGUGGGGAGCGAGUCCUCUUCUGGAAAGAUAGAUGGAUCAAUGGCACAACGGUGGCUGACAUUGCACCGGCCAUCUUGCCCUUGGUUCCGACAAGAGUGCAGAACAUGAGAACUGUGUGCCAGGCUUUGACCAAUGACCAAUGGGAACAAGACAUACUCGGCGAACCACCAUUCAUGGCCCUGAUCCAGCUCAUGCAUCUUCGUGCGGCAAUUGCUGGAGUCCAGAGGGACCAUCUUGAGCCGGACGUCUUCACUUGGCCAUGGCGAUAG